CAGAUAUGAAGAAUUUCAUGAUAAUUAAGUCAAUGUUUAUUGAUGACCCAGGUGUUCAGAAGGGGAGAGGAACCCAAGAACUGCUAAAGGAAAAAUCCAAGUAGCUAUUCCACUAUUAUCCCAUGGAAGGUGGGAUGAACCCCGAUACCAAAUUUGGUCUAGAUGUUGAGACUAAUGACACCACACACACACUAUGAAGGACUCUGAAAACGAUACCCCAAAGUAUGAUGCUUUGGCCUGAUGAGGACUUUGAGCUGAAGGACAUUGGAAGGGCCUCAGAAGUGAAGUCUCUUCCUGAUUCUUUCUUGCCUUUCUUUCCCCUGCUCCCCUUCCUUCCCCAAGGAAGGCCAUAGAAACUGGAAAUAUUACUCUCUCCUUCCCCCAUCUUUCUGUGUAGGAGCUGGCUGUAAAGAAAUUAUCUGACCUACCUUGUUUGCUGGUAGAUUAUAAGACCCUCAUUCCAGAAGGGUCUUGCCUUAUACCCGGGAGCAAGAAAUGCCACACAAAGAGGCCAAGAAGAAUCUGAACAGAAGGCCUUGCUGGGUUUUCUGCCUCAGUCUAUUCCUUUAGCUCAUACCCUUUUGUACAAUCAUAUUUGCACAUGGC
rnacentral:lncRNA from 1 species